rnacentral:lncRNA from 1 species
CGACCUGUAUCUACGGGAAACGACGUAAUUAAGUGGAGCCUGGGGCGUUUGUGUGGCUUCUUUUGCCUCUAGUCUCACAGACCCCACUCCUGCCCAGAGUCACGCAGGUCAGCACCCUGUUCCUCUUCUUCCGUGAGGCGGUUUCAUGCAUCUUCAGCACAGGUUGGCUCUCUGCCUCCUGUGCAGGCAGGAGAAAGGGAUGUGGAAACACAGAGUGCCACUCCCUCCCCACUGGGAGGCCCCAGAAGACACAGCCAGGACUCUGAACCUCUGUUUGUCAUCUGCACGCUGAACCGCUCAGAGCGUUAUCCCAGCAACGGCUUUCAAUGACAAAUGGGAAGAAUGAACGUCACAAAACAGGGGUCAUCUGGGAAAGAAAGGAUCGCCACAAACGGAAGAAAACAACAAGCAGCCAACUGCUAACUCAGCCACAGUGACCGUCCCAAGUCACUUCCCGAGCCUGUGGUCACUCCGCCAUCCCGACCAUGCAGUCCGUGAUGCAGGCGUCAUCAUCUGCUUUCUGCAGAAGAGGAACCCGAGGCCGGAGGUUCUGGGCAGGGUGCUCAGGAUGCUGUGGCCAGCGGUAAGGGGCCAGGGUCUGGAGCUCCACCCACCUGGUGAUUCUGACACCUGCUGUGGAGGGGCCUGAGGGCAGGGGCAGACUCCAUGCACUUCACAGAUUUCAUCAGGAGUGUGAAGAGUUAACCUGGAAAUGAGUUUCAAAUGAACUCCCUGUUGUUUUUCCCAAGUGGUUUUACUAAUGCAUUUAAGAGAAGGCGGAAAGGGCAGGCUCCCAUCCCGAUAAAAGAUAAAUGGCUUUAUCCCAUUUCCUGGCCUAUAAGUGGCAGUGUGCCAAGAAGACCAAACUGCUGACAGCGUCCUGCAGCCACGAAGUUGAACAAACCGCAGCGUUGCUGCAGCCGCGCAGGAAUCGGGGAAAGAGAUUCACAUUAAGGACAACCACGAAUCCAGGAAUAAAGAGCAAACACCCCUUUGAAGAGGGAGACCCAGUGGCCAUUUAUGGAACCAAUAUAAAACUGAUCAGAAAUUUCAAACGAGUGCAAAAACAUCAGAAACGGUGCAAUGACUGCAACAACGUUGGUGCACGGCCGGCCGCGUUUCACCCGCAUCCCCAGCAACGGCUGCCCACCACCAUCAAUCCAAGGCAAACCCCAGACAGCACAGAACUGUUAACACGUGCAGAGUUCAGUAAACAUUCCUAAAAGAAAUGUAACAACUGCAUACGGAGAAAUUGAAAAUAGAGAUAAUGAAAAGGAAAAGGUCAUGUUACAGAAGCUCUCCCUUCUUAACCAUGUCGUCAAAUUUAACACCACCAGUAACGGGAUAAACCGGUCUCGUAUGCUUCCUGAUAGGACGCUCUGGGAAGGACACAUCAGCAUUUCUGGGCCAAAAAUGCAUCUCCUGGAUUUAGCAAUAAACAUUAGACAAACCCCAAUUUAGGAAUGUUCUACAACAUAACUGGCCUGCCCUCUCCAAAGUGGCGGUGUCAUGAAACAAAGAAAUACUAAGGGGCUGCUCCAGAGUAAAGAAAGAUAAAACACAGGACAACUGAAUGCAGCUCCUGCUCCAAAUUCUCAUGCUCCUGAAUUUUCUUUUGCUUUAAAGGACAUUUAGGGGGACAACUCAUAGACUCUGGAUCUACAUACAAAACAGCAGUGAUUAGAGAAGAGUGUGUUGAAGUUAAUUACCUAUUAGGUUGCUGCAAAGGUAAUUGUGGGUUUUGCCAUUCAAAGUAAUGGCAAAAAACAAACAAUUUGGAGAAUUAUACUCUAGUUUUAUAAGCAAACAAAUAUAUUUGUUAAGAAGUAAACACUGGCCAGGUGCGGUGGCUCACACCUGUAAUCCCAGCACUUUGGGAGGCCGAGGCAGGUAGAUCACCAGGUCAGGAGAUUGAGACCAUCCUGGCUAACACGGUGAAACCCCAUCUCUAUUAAAAAUACAAAAAAAUUAGCCAGGCGUGGUGGCGGGCGCCUGUAGUCCCAGCUACUCGGGAGGCUGAGGCAGGAGAAUGGCGUCAACCCAGGAGGCGGAGCUUGCAGUGAGCCGAGAUCUUGCCACUGUACUCCAGCCUGGGUGACAGAGCAAGACUCCGUCUCAAAAAAAAAAAAAAAAAAAAAAAAGAAGCAAACACUGAAGUUCAUGGAGAUAAAAGGGUAGCCUGUCUGUCACGUACUCUCUGACACCUAGAAAAUAAUAAUGUAUAUUUGUGUAAUAUGCACACAUGAGAGAAGAAAGCAAACAUGGUGAAACAUAAUAUUGAGGAAUCUGAGUGUCUUAUAUACGAGAAUUCUUUGUGCUACCCUUGCCAUUGUUCUGUACAUCUGAAAUUGUUAAAAUAAAGGUUACAGAAAAAAGUAUCCACCAAUUCCUAUGACUGGAUUUCUUUUAACAUAAAGAGGCACCGCAUUUGUCGAGUGCUUUUUCCACAUCUAUGAAACUUACAUGAUUUCUCUCUAUGCAUUAAUGGAUUCUAAUGUUAACCAUCUUUGCAUUCCUUGAAUAAACCCCUAAUUGUCACGA